AGCUGCCAUGUUGGGAGGAUACUCAAGGAGUCCUCUGGAGUGUUUCACAUGACAGGGAACCUUCUGCCAACCACCAGCAUUACCUUGCUAGACAUAAGCAUGUCAGAAAUCCAAGGAAGUUUCAAGAUCUUUCUUGCCCACCCUCUUAUUUCGUAGGCGAGUGAACUACUGUGGCCCACAACUGUGAAAUUAGAUGGUGGAAGAGCGGGUACUACAUACCAGUUCUCCUUAUUCUCAAUCCAAAACUCUUUUCACCUUGGGGAGCUGUUCGUUCUGGCUGCCCCAUUUUUCCUCUGGUGGUGGAAGGUGUAUGAAGAACAUGUCUGUCACUGGUUCAGUAGUACCAGUAAAAGACACAUUGCACUGAAGUAUUGUUAACCAGGGUAGAAAUAAGAGAUUUUCUGAAUCUCAGAUCUAUCUUUUCCAUAGAUAAGCUUGUACAUUUCACUAAAAUGUUGUAAUGGCAAUUUCUGCUCUGGAGUUUGGAGACUAUGGGAAAUGCCUCUGUUAGCCAGCCUUCUUGAGAAAUGUCCUUUAAGUGUUGCAGCAUAGAGAAACCUCUUUAGCAGGAAACGAUUUAUUUCAACUCUUUUCAUGUAAAUCCUCUUUUUUACAUAUCAGACAUGACUUUCUCCUUUCAAAGUAUAGGCAUGCGCCCCAUAACGUUUCAGUCGACAAGGGACUGGGUAUACGACUACAACGAUGAUCCCAUGAGGUUAUAAAGGAGCUUAAAAAUUCUCAUCGCCUAGUGAUGGUUUAGCCAUUUUUAAUGUUGUAGUGCAAUGCUUUAAUCAUGUGUUUGUGGUGAUGCUGGUGUAAACAAACCUACUGCACUGCCAGUCAUAUAAAAGUAUAGCACAUACACUUAUGUACAGUGCAUAAUAUUUGAUAAU